AACUGGACCUCUCCUGGGACAGCAUGUGCUCUGCAUGGAAUAACAAGGUUAAAUGGACAAGGCUGAAUGGCCCUGUGAUGGGGAGUGCCUUUAAGCCACAUGACGGAAAUGAAACAGGAGCCAUAAUGACCAUGACUGGAGGAGAAUCAGAUUCUGGCCUGGCCUGGUUCUGUGAGAUACCUUAAAUCAUACUUUCUGUAGCAUCCCUUAAAGAUAUCACCUCCAUAGGAAGCUGUCUCUCUGCUUUAGAGCAAGAAUCAACAAACUUUUUCUGUAAAGAGCCAGAUAGUGAGUAUUUUAAGCCUUGAGACUCACACAGUCUCUGUUGCAACCCCUCAACUCUGCCAUUGUAAAGCUAUAGCAGCUACAUACAAUCCAUACAUAAACGGGCAUGGCUGUGUUCCAAUAAAACUUUAUUUAUGCACAAAGGCAGCAGGCUUGAUUUGGGCAUGGCCUGUAGAUUAUUGACCCUUGCUUUAGAGUUACACUUUAUACAUUUAUCGCUGAGGCAAAAGUUAAGUCUCUAGAUGUGAAAAUCCGUGGCUUCCAAGUGAGAGCAGUAUAUGGAUGUAGUUAGUUAGACUGGACACAAGGUUGGUGAUACAGGUGAAUCUGCCUAAUGUAGCAUAUGAUACUGCUUAGAGUUAUUUUAUUUUUAAUUAAUUAAUUUAUUUAUUUUUGAGACAGUGUCUCACUCUGUCACCCAGGCUGGAGUGCAGUAGCGCAAUGAUAGCUCACUGCAGCCUUGACCUCCCUGGCUCAAGUGAUCCUUCCACCUCAGUCUCCCGAAUAUCUAGGACUACAGGUGCACACCACCACACCCAGCUAAUGUAUUUUUGUGUGUGAAUACAGGGUUUUGCCAUGUUGUCCAGGCUAAUCUCAAACUCCUGGGCUUAAGCGAUCCACCCACCUCCACCUCCCAAAGGGCUGGGAUUACAGGUGUGAGCCACAUAGCCCAACCUAGAGUUAUUUUAGAUUCUCGUCAUCCCAGUUAACUGAAAGAACUGCCUGCUAAAG
rnacentral:lncRNA from 1 species